rnacentral:lncRNA from 1 species
GUGUUAAACAAAUCUUGUAGAUAUAUGUAUCUUGCACGUCUUUAAGCUAAUAAUCACUGAAUACCUGCAGAAUUCGUUUACAUUACAUCCUUAACAGCAUUCCACACGUUCUAAUAUUUUUUCCUUUGCUUAAUAUGGUUAUUUGUUUAUUUGUACAAAACCAAAUUCUUGACAACUCAUUCAGUUCUUGCUCAGUCUAGAUCGACACACUAU